rnacentral:lncRNA from 1 species
AACAGAUAAAGGAGCACAGUACAACCGUACAUCACCAAAGGAUAGCCGAGUACAGUACACCCGUGUCCCUCAGAAGACGAGUACUCAAACAGCAUUACGACUACUCGACACUCAGGACUACAAGCCAAGCUUAGCCUACACGACGGGGGCUCCGACUACUCCAACCCCAGGACUCGGGGUUGGGCGAGGCGGAGUUCCACCCUUGAGGGGUCGAGCGCCCCCGAUCCCAGGACUCGGGGUCGGGCGAGGCGGAGUUUCACCCUCGAAGGGUCGGGCGCAUCCGACCCCGGCCUCGGGGUCGGGCGAGGCGGAGUUCCACCCUCGAAGGGUCGGGCACAGCAGAGUUGCAAUACUUUGGGACUCAAUAAUGUAUUUCGCAAGACGAUGAUACAACAAAUCCAAAAAGCUUGAUAUUCAAAAGUAUCAACAUAAUUGGUACAAGAACAAGGGUACACACAAAAGGCUCAAAGUUCU